UCCGGCCAUGCUACGUUGAAAUUCCGGUUCUCAUACGAUUACCGAAGUUAAGCAACGUUGAGCCUGGUUAGUAACUAAAUGGUUGAUCGCUUCGGAAUACCAGGUGCUGUAGG